rnacentral:rRNA from 1 species
CAUGCUAGACGUAGUUUGAUCCUGGCUACAGAACGAACGCUGGCGGCGCGCCUAACACAUGCAAGUCGAACGAGAAUCCGGGGCAACCCGGUAGUAAAGUGGCAAACGGGUGAGGAAUACAUGGGUAACCUACCCUUGAGAAGGGAAUAACCCGCCGAAAGGUGAGCUAAUACCCUAUACGCUAUCUUUUUUUCGAAAAGGAUAGGAAAGCCGGGUCGAGGACCUGGUACUCAAGGAGGGGCUCAUGUCCUAUCAGCUUGUUGGUGGGGUAACGGCCUACCAAGGCUACGACGGGUAGCUGGUCUGAGAGGAUGAUCAGCCACACUGGCACUGAGGUACGGGCCGGACUCCUACGGGAGGCAGCAGUGAGGAAUAUUGCGCAAUGGGCGAAGGCCUGACGCAGCGACGCCGCGUGGGGGAUGAAGGUCUUCGGAUUGUAAACCCCUUUCGGGAGGGAAGAUGGAGCGAGCAAUCGUUCGGACGGUACCUCCAGAAGCAGCCACGGCCAACUUCGUG